rnacentral:rRNA from 1 species
CCCUUAGAUGUCCUGGGCCGCACACGCGCUACACUGGCAGGUUCAUCGAGCUUCAUGCCCUGAUCUGAGAAGAACGGGAAAUCUUUGAACACCUGCCGUGCUUGGGAUAGAUGUUUGCAAUUAUUCAUCUUCAACGAGGAUUGCCUUGUAAGCGCACGUCAUCAGCGUGCAUUGAAUACGACCCUGUAUUCUGUACACACCGCCCGUCGCUCCUACCGAUUGAAGUUUUCGGUGAAUUUACUGGAGAUCCCUUUUGAAGGUGGUUCGCCACUGGAAGAAGUAUUCAAAAGUAAAUGAAUCGAAUGCUUUAGAGGAAGGAGAAGUCGUAACA